ACGGAAGGCAGCAGUGGGGAAUAUUGGGCAAUGGGGGAAACCCUGACCCAGCAACGCCGCGUGAGGGAAGAAGGUUUUCGGAUCGUAAACCUCUGUCCUUGAUGAAGAGAAAGAGACGGUAAUCAGGGAGGAAGCCCCGGCUAACUACGUGCCAGCAGCCGCGGUAAUACGUAGGGGGCAAGCGUUGUCCGGAAUGAUUGGGCGUAAAGGGCGCGUAGGCGGCCCGGUAAGUCUGGAGUGAAAGUCCUGCUUUUAAGGUGGGAACUGCUUUGGAUACUGUCGGGCUUGAGUGCAGGAGAGGUUAGUGGAAUUCCCAGUGUAGCGGUGAAAUGCGUAGAGAUUGGGAGGAACACCAGUGGCGAAGGCGACUAACUGGACUGUAACUGACGCUGAGGCGCGAAAGUGUGGGGAGCAAACAGGAUUAGAUACCCUGGUA
rnacentral:rRNA from 1 species